CGCGUAUGCAACCUACCUUAUACUGGGGUAUAGCCCGGAGAAAUUCGGAUUAAUCCCCCAUGGUAUUAUUGGAUCGCAUGGUUUGAUAAUUAAAGGAUACGGUAUAAGACGGGCAUGCGUCCUAUUAGCUAGAUGGUAAGGUAACGGCUUACCAUGGCUACGAUAGGUAGGGGGCCUGAGAGGGUGGUCCCCCACACUGGUACUGAGACACGGACCAGACUCCUACGGGAGGCAGCAGUGAGGAAUAUUGGUCAAUGGGCGCAAGCCUGAACCAGCCAUGCCGCGUGCAGGAAGAAUGCCCUAUGGGUUGUAAACUGCUUUUAUUUAGGAAUAAACUCUUGUACGUGUACAAGCCUGAAGGUACUAAAUGAAUAAGCACCGGCUAACUCCGUGCCAGCAGCCGCGGUAAUACGGAGGGUGCAAGCGUUAUCCGGAAUCAUUGGGUUUAAAGGGUCCGCAGGCGGAUUUAUAAGUCAGUGGUGAAAUCCUAUCGCUUAACGAUAGAACUGCCAUUGAUACUGUAAGUCUUGAAUUCGGUCGAAGUGGGCGGAAUGUGUAGUGUAGCGGUGAAAUGCAUAGAUAUUACACAGAACACCGAUAGCGAAGGCAGCUCACUAGGCCUGGAUUGACGCUCAGGGACGAAAGCGUGGGGAUCAAACAGGAUUAGAUACCCUGGUAGU
rnacentral:rRNA from 1 species